UACAGAGGUCUCAAGCGUUGUUCGGAUUCAUUGGGCGUAAAGGGUGCGUAGGCGGCGCGGUAAGUCGGGUGUGAAAUCUUGGAGCUUAACUCCGAAACUGCAUUCGAUACUGCGGUGCUUGAGGACUGGAGAGGAGACUGGAAUUCAUGGUGUAGCAGUGAAAUGACGUAGAGAUCAUGAGGAAGACCAGUGGCGAAGGCGGGUCUCUGGACAGUUCCUGACACUGAGACACGAAAGCCAGGGGAGCAAACGGG
rnacentral:rRNA from 1 species